AACCUUAUGGACCUGCGGGCGUAUACCUGCGGAAGGAUCAUUACAGAGUUGCAAAACUCCCUAAACCAUUGUGAACGUUACCUAAACCGUUGCUUCGGCGGGCGGCCCGGGUCCUUCCCGGCGCCCAUCGGCCCUCGCGGGCGCCCGCCGGAGGUAAACCAAACUAUUGCAUUGUAUGGCCUCUCUGAGUCUUCUGUACUGAAUAAGUCAAAACUUUCAACAACGGAUCUCAGAUCGGAA
rnacentral:misc_RNA from 1 species